UGGGGAAUUUUGGACAAUGGGGGCAACCCUGAUCCAGCAAUGCCGCGUGUGUGAAGAAGGCCUUCGGGUUGUAAAGCACUUUUGUCCGGGAAGAAAUCGCACCUGAUAAUACCGGGUGUGGAUGACGGUACCGGAAGAAUAAGGACCGGCUAACUACGUGCCAGCAGCCGCGGUAAUACGUAGGGUCCAAGCGUUAAUCGGAAUUACUGGGCGUAAAGCGUGCGCAGGCGGUUGUGCAAGACCGAUGUGAAAUCCCCGGGCUUAACCUGGGAAUUGCAUUGGUGACUGCACGGCUAGAGUGUGUCAGAGGGAGGUAGAAUUCCACGUGUAGCAGUGAAAUGCGUAGAGAUGUGGAGGAAUACCGAUGGCGAAGGCAGCCCCCUGGGAUAACACUGACGCUCAUGCACGAAAGCGUGGGGAGCAAACAGG
rnacentral:rRNA from 1 species